UUUGGUUAAGUUAGAAAGGGCGCACGGUGGAUGCCUUGACACUAGGAGUCGAUGAAGGACGGGACUAACGCCGAUAUGCUUCGGGGAGCUGUAAGUAAGCUUUGAUCCGAAGAUUUCCGAAUGGGGAAACCCACCAUACGUAAUGGUAUGGUAUCCUUAUCUGAAUACAUAGGGUAAGGAAGACAGACCCAGGGAACUGAAACAUCUAAGUACCUGGAGGAAGAGAAAGCAAAUGCGAUUUCCUGAGUAGCGGCGAGCGAAACGGAACAUAGCCCAAACCAAGAGGCUUGCCUCUUGGGGUUGUAGGACAUUCUAUACGGAGUUACAAAGGAACGAGGUAGACGAAGCGACCUGGAAAGGUCCGUCGUAGAGGGUAACAACCCCGUAGUCGAAACUUCGUUCUCUCUUGAAUGUAUCCUGAGUACGGCGGAACACGUGAAAUUCCGUCGGAAUCUGGGAGGACCAUCUCCCAAGGCUAAAUACUCCCUAGUGAUCGAUAGUGAACCAGUACCGUGAGGGAAAGGUGAAAAGCACCCCGGAAGGGGAGUGAAAGAGAUCCUGAAACCGUGUGCCUACAAAUAGUCAGAGCCCGUUAAUGGGUGAUGGCGUGCCUUUUGUAGAAUGAACCGGCGAGUUACGAUCCCGUGCGAGGUUAAGCUGAAGAGGCGGAGCCGCAGCGAAAGCGAGUCUGAAUAGGGCGUUUAGUACGUGGUCGUAGACCCGAAACCAGGUGAUCUACCCAUGUCCAGGGUGAAGUUCAGGUAACACUGAAUGGAGGCCCGAACCCACGCACGUUGAAAAGUGCGGGGAUGAGGUGUGGGUAGCGGAGAAAUUCCAAUCGAACCUGGAGAUAGCUGGUUCUCCCCGAAAUAGCUUUAGGGCUAGCCUUAAGUGUAAGAGUCUUGGAGGUAGAGCACUGAUUGGACUAGGGGUCCUCAUCGGAUUACCGAAUUCAGUCAAACUCCGAAUGCCAAUGACUUAUCCUUAGGAGUCAGACUGCGAGUGAUAAGAUCCGUAGUCAAAAGGGAAACAGCCCAGACCGCCAGCUAAGGUCCCAAAGUGUGUAUUAAGUGGAAAAGGAUGUGGAGUUGCUUAGACAACUAGGAUGUUGGCUUAGAAGCAGCCACCAUUUAAAGAGUGCGUAAUAGCUCACUAGUCGAGUGACUCUGCGCCGAAAAUGUACCGGGGCUAAAUACACCACCGAAGCUGCGGAUUGAUACCAAUGGUAUCAGUGGUAGGGGAGCGUUCUAAGGACAGUGAAGUCAGACCGUAAGGACUGGUGGAGUGCUUAGAAGUGAGAAUGCCGGUAUGAGUAGCGAAAGACGGGUGAGAAUCCCGUCCACCGAAUGCCUAAGGUUUCCUGAGGAAGGCUCGUCCGCUCAGGGUUAGUCAGGACCUAAGCCGAGGCCGACAGGCGUAGGCGAUGGACAACAGGUUGAUAUUCCUGUACCACCUCUUUAUCGUUUGAGCAAUGGAGGGACGCAGAAGGAUAGAAGAAGCGUGCGAUUGGUUGUGCACGUCCAAGCAGUUAGGCUGAUAAGUAGGCAAAUCCGCUUAUCGUGAAGGCUGAGCUGUGAUGGGGAAGCUCCUUAUGGAGCGAAGUCUUUGAUUCCCCGCUGCCAAGAAAAGCUUCUAGCGAGAUAAAAGGUGCCUGUACCGCAAACCGACACAGGUAGGCGAGGAGAGAAUCCUAAGGUGUGCGAGAGAACUCUGGUUAAGGAACUCGGCAAAAUGACCCCGUAACUUCGGGAGAAGGGGUGCUUUCUUAACGGAAAGCCGCAGUGAAUAGGCCCAAGCGACUGUUUAGCAAAAACACAGCUCUCUGCGAAGCCGUAAGGCGAAGUAUAGGGGGUGACACCUGCCCGGUGCUGGAAGGUUAAGGAGAGGGGUUAGCGUAAGCGAAGCUCUGAACUGAAGCCCCAGUAAACGGCGGCCGUAACUAUAACGGUCCUAAGGUAGCGAAAUUCCUUGUCGGGUAAGUUCCGACCCGCACGAAAGGUGUAACGAUUUGGGCACUGUCUCAACCAGAGACUCGGUGAAAUUAUAGUACCUGUGAAGAUGCAGGUUACCCGCGACAGGACGGAAAGACCCCGUGGAGCUUUACUGUAGCCUGAUAUUGAAUUUUGGUACAGUUUGUACAGGAUAGGCGGGAGCCAUUGAAACCGGAGCGCUAGCUUCGGUGGAGGCGCUGGUGGGAUACCGCCCUGACUGUAUUGAAAUUCUAACCUACGGGUCUUAUCGACCCGGGAGACAGUGUCAGGUGGGCAGUUUGACUGGGGCGGUCGCCUCCUAAAGUGUAACGGAGGCGCCCAAAGGUUCCCUCAGAAUGGUUGGAAAUCAUUCGUAGAGUGCAAAGGCAUAAGGGAGCUUGACUGCGAGACCUACAAGUCGAGCAGGGACGAAAGUCGGGCUUAGUGAUCCGGUGGUUCCGCAUGGAAGGGCCAUCGCUCAACGGAUAAAAGCUACCCCGGGGAUAACAGGCUUAUCUCCCCCAAGAGUCCACAUCGACGGGGAGGUUUGGCACCUCGAUGUCGGCUCAUCGCAUCCUGGGGCUGUAGUCGGUCCCAAGGGUUGGGCUGCAUCGCAUCCUGGGGCUGUAGUCGGUCCCAAGGGUUGGGCUGUUCGCCCAUUAAAGCGGUACGCGAGCUGGGUUCAGAACGUCGUGAGACAGUUCGGUCCCUAUCCGUCGUGGGCGUAGGAAAUUUGAGAGGAGCUGUCCUUAGUACGAGAGGACCGGGAUGGACGCACCGCUGGUGUACCAGUUGUUCUGCCAAGGGCAUAGCUGGGUAGCUAUGUGCGGAAGGGAUAAGUGCUGAAAGCAUCUAAGCAUGAAGCCCCCCUCAAGAUGAGAUUUCCCAUAGCGUAAGCUAGUAAGAUCCCUGAAAGAUGAUCAGGUUGAUAGGUUCGAGGUGGAAGCAUGGUGACAUGUGGAGCUGACGAAUACUAAUAGAUCGAGGACUUAACCAUA
rnacentral:rRNA from 1 species